UGGGGAAUUUUGGACAAUGGGGGCAACCUGAUCCAGCAAUGCCGCGUGUGUGAAGAAGGCCUUCGGGUUGUAAAGCACUUUUGUCCGGAAAGAAAACGUCGUGGUUAAUACCCGUGGCGGCUGACGGUACCGGAAGAAUAAGCACCGGCUAACUACGUGCCAGCAGCCGCGGUAAUACGUAGGGUGCAAGCGUUAAUCGGAAUUACUGGGCGUAAAGCGUGCGCAGGCGGUCCGCUAAGACAGAUGUGAAAUCCCCGGGCUUAACCUGGGAACUGCAUUUGUGACUGGCGGGCUAGAGUAUGGCAGAGGGGGGUAGAAUUCCACGUNUAGCAGUGAAAUGCGUAGAGAUGUGGAGGAAUACCGAUGGCGAGGCAGCCCCCUGGGCCAAUACUGACGCUCAUGCACGAAAGCGUGGGGGAGCAAACAGGAUUAGAUACCCUGGUAGUCCACGCCCUAAACCGAUGUCAAC
rnacentral:rRNA from 1 species